GCCCUGAACCAGACACGGGAUGGGACGAGCGGUCCGCAACCGAUUCAAGUUUAGAGGAGGAGGAAACAGAGAUAAACAAAAUCAGGAGCCAAAGGAUUCCCACCCAAACUACAGAGGGACCACGAGGGGAAGAAAUCCCUCUCACAGAUUGGAAGAAAAUACAAACUACGUGCGCCGACCGGAGCUCAGCAGCCACAUUAGCAUUCCCGGUCCGGGUGGCACCUGGGGGACAGAGGACUGGAUUAUCGGACGUCCCUGUAACCCGUAUACCCCGGUGACAAGAGAGGACGAUAAGCCAACAAGCAUCCAGCCCGCACCUGAAAGUUCUGCACCGAUUAGAUCCUAACGACAGCCAACGCAGUGCCUUUGUAUACCGAAUAAGCUCAUGUCGUUUGUAAAGAGCCGGUUAGAGAGAGUUAACAUCAUGUUAGUAGAACGUCGGCAACUGCUUUAAAAACGCAGCCAACAACUGCUUUAAGAAUGUUCUUGUUCAAAACUUCCUUUACUUAUCCCCAGUUAUACCCCGUUAUUCCCAGUUAUCCUCCUGUUACCUCUUGCUUACUGUGCCUUAUGUUUUCUAUCCAAGUUUCUGAUAUAUAUCCUAAGUCUGUUGUAGAGCAGAGAAUAGGAGUAGAAUGCAUUUAGUAUAUAUUUAUGAUAUAUAUAUAUUAUUUAAGAUUGUUACAUUUUAGCCAAUUUAAUUAAGCAUAGGGAGGGGGGAAAUGUAGGCAGAUAGGGCCUGGUGGCCGGAAGAUAUCAUGCUGUACGGAAAGAUAAGACCCCUCUCCAGGUAGCCAAUAGCGUUUAGGUGAUGAUACCAGUUUUACGAUGCAAGCAGACAGAAAUGACAUCGUAAACCUAGGCUAUAUAAUGCCGUGUUCUCUCUCAAUAAACGCCAUUUGCCAUCCACCA